GGUAACAGGGGGUGCUUGCACCCCGCUGACGAGCGGCGGACGGGUGAGUAAUGCUUAGGAAUCUGCCCAGUAGUGGGGGGCAACAGUCGGAAACGGCUGCUAAUACCGCAUACGCCCUACGGGGGAAAGCAGGGGAUCUUCGGACCUUGCGCUAUUGGAUGAGCCUAAGUCGGAUUAGCUAGUUGGUGGGGUAAAGGCCUACCAAGGCGACGAUCCGUAGCUGGUCUGAGAGGAUGAUCAGCCACAUCGGGACUGAGACACGGCCCGAACUCCUACGGGAGGCAGCAGUGGGGAAUAUUGGACAAUGGGGGCAACCCUGAUCCAGCCAUGCCGCGUGUGUGAAGAAGGCUUUCGGGUUGUAAAGCACUUUCAGCGAGGAGGAAGGCUCUAAAGUUAAUACCUUUAGGGAUUGACGUUACUCGCAGAAGAAGCACCGGCUAACUCCGUGCCAGCAGCCGCGGUAAUACGGAGGGUGCAAGCGUUAAUCGGAAUUACUGGGCGUAAAGCGCGCGUAGGUGGUUAGGUAAGCGAGAUGUGAAAGCCCCGGGCUUAACCUGGGAACGGCAUUUCGAACUGUCUGACUAGAGUGUGGUAGAGGGUAGUGGAAUUUCCUGUGUAGCGGUGAAAUGCGUAGAUAUAGGAAGGAACACCAGUGGCGAAGGCGGCUAUCUGGACCAACACUGACACUGAG
rnacentral:rRNA from 1 species